rnacentral:rRNA from 1 species
UACAGAGGUCUCAAGCGUUGUUCGGAUUCAUUGGGCGUAAAGGGUGCGUAGGUGGCGGGGCAAGUCUGGUGUGAAAUCCCCGGGGCUCAACCCCGGAACUGCACUGGAUACUGCCUUGCUAGAGCACUGGAGAGGGAACUGGAAUUUACGGUGUAGCAGUGAAAUGCGUAGAUAUCGUAAGGAAGACCAGUGGCGAAGGCGAGUUCCUGGACAGUUGCUGACACUGAGGCACGAAGGCUAGGGGAGCAAACGGG